CCUAAUUGAGCCAGCCCACCAUCCACACCGUCUCUCUUCCAUCUCUUAAUUUAAAAAAAAAAAAACUAAGCCCUAAUCCAAUUGGGGCAGUUGUUCUCCUGCUCCCGCACAGCCGUCUGCCAUUGAUAUGGCAUUCCUAACGACACCACUCACGUUGAACACCGUCAGGUAGCAAAGCAAACUGAUCUGGUGGAGGUGGA
rnacentral:lncRNA from 1 species